AUCAGUCACCUCCAUUCAAAAGCUAAUAAUUAAGGGUAAUGAUGAGUUGGUUUCAUUUCAAGUUGAGACACAGCAGUGGUUUCUCCAAGUUAGCUCAUAACUUUGUUUUAUUUGUUUGAUAUAAAAUGUGAAGUUUCAGCCAGAGCUGUGGUUGGCAAAGGAUUAAUGACCAACAUGCAAUACUUAGGCAGGAAAGAGAUGAAGGGAAAUAAUGGAUACAGCCAGAUCGAGGUGCCUUCAAUGCCGUUAAAAGUUAAAAUAUUGAUGAUUCCCCUCCUACGAAGUCGAUUAUGGAGCACAAAGAACAACUGAACAGAAACAUGGAGGAAACAAGAAGAUGGAAAUUAUGGAGUUACAGAAUUUAAUUAAUGUCCUAUGAAGAAAGGUCUUAUAUAAAAACAGUGAGUGGACAUUCUGGGGGUUGAAACUCAUGGAAGGUAUAUAAUAUUCAUUUUUUUGUUUCCUUAGAGAUAUUUUGGAGAGUUCACCUGCAUUUUCAGUUAACUCAAAAUUUUCAUUUUAAAGAGGGUGUUGUUAUUACAGCUUCAUUACAAGGACAUUAUUAUUAUGUGCGGACACUGGAUUGUCCGUAGACGAAUGAGAAUGCGUCACGCUCUGAAUGCCUUUGGGCGAUGUAUUUAUUUGUAAACUUAGGCUUCAUUUGGUAUGAUUUUUUUAGUGUUUUUUAAAGCGGUUUAGUUGUAUAAAAAUUAAGAAAGCUGUUUUAAUAAACAUGAAGAAAUAAUUGAAUCACUGGCAUACAACAACAACAACAACAAAAUGUGAAGCAAUCCUUCAGAGGCAAAACAUCAAGCAGGUGAAAUGAAAUAGACGAAAACAUCAGACAGGAAAAAGAGUAAUGAGCUUGUCUUUUGCAUGAACGUGGGAAAUGGCAACUUCAGAGCUGAGCAGCCAAGCAAUUAUGUAAUUUAUUUAAUUCAUAAGGGUCUGCCAGAUUACCAAUAGAUACUGAAGAAAAGCCCCUCUGGUUCAGGUUGAGGAUGAAAUUACCUAACAAUGUAUGGAGAUCCACAUUAGUAAAAAUAGAAUAUUUUCUAUUUAA